AUUGAACGCUGGCGGCAGGCCUAACACAUGCAAGUCGAACGCGUGGCGGACGGGUGAGUAAUGUCUGGGAAAAUGCCAGAUGGAGGGGGAAAACUUGUGGAAACAGUAGCUAAUCCCGUAAAACAUCGGGUGGGCCAAGAUGGGAUUAGCUAGUAGGUGGGGUAACGGCUCACCUAGGCGACGAUCCCUAGCUGGUCUGAGAGGAUGACCAGCCACACUGGAACUGAGACACGGUCCAGACUCCUACGGGAGGCAGCAGUGGGGAAUAUUGCACAAUGGGCGCAAGCCUGAUGCAGCCAUGCCGCGUGUAUGAAGAAGGCCUUCGGGUUGUAAAGUACUUUCAGCGAGGAGGCGUUACUCGCAGAAGAAGCACCGGCUAACUCCGUGCCAGCAGCCGCGGUAAUUC
rnacentral:rRNA from 1 species